rnacentral:rRNA from 1 species
AGAGUUUGAUCCUGGCUCAGGAUGAACGCUGGCGGCGUGCCUAACACAUGCAAGUCGAGCGAAGCGCUGUUUUCAGAAUCUUCGGAGGAAGAGGACAGUGACUGAGCGGCGGACGGGUGAGUAACGCGUGGGUAACCUGCCCUGUACAGGGGGAUAACAGUCAGAAAUGACUGCUAAUACCGCAUAAGACCACAGCACCGCAUGGUGCAGGGGUAAAAACUCCGGUGGUACAGGAUGGACCCGCGUCUGAUUAGCUGGUUGGUGAGGUAACGGCUCACCAAGGCGACGAUCAGUAGCCGGCUUGAGAGAGUGAACGGCCACAUUGGGACUGAGACACGGCCCAAACUCCUACGGGAGGCAGCAGUGGGGAAUAUUGCACAAUGGGGGAAACCCUGAUGCAGCGACGCCGCGUGAAGGAAGAAGUAUCUCGGUAUGUAAACUUCUAUCAGCAGGGAAGAUAGUGACGGUACCUGACUAAGAAGCCCCGGCUAACUACGUGCCAGCAGCCGCGGUAAUACGUAGGGGGCAAGCGUUAUCCGGAUUUACUGGGUGUAAAGGGAGCGUAGACGGUGUGGCAAGUCUGAUGUGAAAGGCAUGGGCUCAACCUGUGGACUGCAUUGGAAACUGUCAUACUUGAGUGCCGGAGGGGUAAGCGGAAUUCCUAGUGUAGCGGUGAAAUGCGUAGAUAUCGGGAGGAACACCAGUGGCGAAGGCGGCCUACUGGGCACCAACUGACGCUGAGGCUCGAAAGUGUGGGUAGCAAACAGGAUUAGAUACCCUGGUAGUCCACACCGUAAACGAUGAUUACUAGGUGUUGGAGGAUUGACCCCUUCAGUGCCGCAGUUAACACAAUAAGUAAUCCACCUGGGGAGUACGACCGCAAGGUUGAAACUCAAAGGAAUUGACGGGGGCCCGCACAAGCAGUGGAGUAUGUGGUUUAAUUCGACGCAACGCGAAGAACCUUACCAAGUCUUGACAUCCCUUGACGAUGCUGGAAACAGCAUUUCUCUUCGGAGCAAGGAGACAGGUGGUGCAUGGUUGUCGUCAGCUCGUGUCGUGAGAUGUUGGGUUAAGUCCCGCAACGAGCGCAACCCUUAUCAUUAGUUGCUACGCAAGAGCACUCUAAUGAGACUGCCGUUGAUAAAACGGAGGAAGGUGGGGAUGACGUCAAAUCAUCAUGCCCCUUAUGACCUGGGCUACACACGUACUACAAUGGUGAUCAAACAGAGGGAAGCAACACAGCGAUGUGAAGCAGAACCCGAAAAAUCAUCUCAGUUCAGAUUGCAGGCUGCAACUCGCCUGCAUGAAGUCGGAAUUGCUAGUAAUCGCGGAUCAGCAUGCCGCGGUGAAUACGUUCCCGGGCCUUGCACACACCGCCCGUCA